GACGAACGCUGGCGGCGUGCCUAACACAUGCAAGUCGAACGGAACUGUUUUGAAAGAUUUCUUCGGAAUGAAUUUGAUUUAGUUUAGUGGCGGACGGGUGAGUAACGCGUGAGUAACCUGCCUUCAAGAGGGGAAUAACAUUCUGAAAAGAAUGCUAAUACCGCAUGACAUAUCGGAACCACAUGGUUUUGAUAUCAAAGAUUUUAUCGCUUGAAGAUGGACUCGCGUCCGUUUAGUUAGUUGGUGAGGUAACGGCUCACCAAGACCGCGAUCGGUAGCCGGACUGAGAGGUUGAACGGCCACAUUGGGACUGAGACACGGCCCAGACUCCUACGGGAGGCAGCAGUGGGGGAUAUUGCGCAAUGGGGGCAACCCUGACGCAGCAACGCCGCGUGAAGGAUGAAGGUUUUCGGAUUGUAAACUUCUUUUAUUAAGGACGAAAAAUGACGGUACUUAAUGAAUAAGCUCCGGCUAACUACGUG
rnacentral:rRNA from 1 species